GACGAACGCUGGCGGCGUGCUUAACACAUGCAAGUCGAACGGAAAGGCCCUGCUUUUGUGGGGUGCUCGAGUGGCGAACGGGUGAGUAACACGUGAGUAACCUGCCCUUGACUUUGGGAUAACUUCAGGAAACUGGGGCUAAUACCGGAUAGGAGCUCCUGCUGCAUGGUGGGGGUUGGAAAGUUUCGGCGGUUGGGGAUGGACUCGCGGCUUAUCAGCUUGUUGGUGGGGUAGUGGCUUACCAAGGCUUUGACGGGUAGCCGGCCUGAGAGGGUGACCGGGCACAUUGGGACUGGGAUACGGCCCCGACUCCUACGGGAGGCAGGAGUGGGGAAUAUUGGACAAUGGGCGGAAGCCUGAUGCAGCAAAGCCGCGGGCGGGAAGACGGCCUUCGGGUUGUAAAACGCUUUCGCCUGGGACGAAGCGUGAGUGACGGUAAUGGGUAAAGAAGCACCGGCUAACUACGUG
rnacentral:rRNA from 1 species